rnacentral:sRNA from 1 species
GAAACUGGGCCAGGCUGCACUUAGCUCAAGGGGCCUCGAGGACUCUCUGCGUCUCUGGAGACAAGGGCACUACACGCACUUCAGAAUGAAGAGUUGCGGGAGCAUGCUGGGGCUCUGGGGGCAGCGGCUCCCCGCGGCGUGGGUCCUGCUUCUGUUGCCUUUCCUGCCGCUGCUGCUGCUUGCAGCCCCCGCGCCCCACCGCGCGUCCUACAAGCCGGUCAUCGUGGUGCAUGGGCUCUUCGACAGCUCGUACAGCUUCCGCCACCUGCUGGAAUACAUCAAUGAGGGGGCCUUGUGUGCCGGGCUCUGCUUUCUGUCAUGGAUGAUCACAACGUGGAUUCUUUCAUCUCCCUCUCCUCUCCACAGAUGGGACAGUAUGGAGACACGGACUACUUGAAGUGGCUGUUCCCCACCUCCAUGCGGUCUAACCUCUAUCGGAUCUGCUAUAGCCCCUGGGGCCAGGAAUUCUCCAUCUGCAACUACUGGCAUGAUCCCCACCACGAUGACUUGUACCUCAAUGCCAGCAGCUUCCUGGCCCUGAUCAAUGGGGAAAGAGACCAUCCCAAUGCCACAGUAUGGCGGAA